rnacentral:rRNA from 1 species
CCUACGGGGUGCUGCAGUGGGGAAUAUUGGACAAUGGGCGAAAGCCUGAUCCAGCCAUGCCGCGUGUGUGAAGAAGGCCUUCGGGUUGUAAAGCACUUUCAGUGGGGAAGAAAGCCUUGGGGCUAAUACCCUCGAGGAAGGACAUCACCCACAGAAGAAGCACCGGCUAACUCCGUGCCAGCAGCCGCGGUAAUACGGAGGGUGCGAGCGUUAAUCGGAAUUACUGGGCGUAAAGCGCGCGUAGGCGGUCUGAUAAGCCGGUUGUGAAAGCCCCGGGCUCAACCUGGGAACGGCAUCCGGAACUGUCAGGCUAGAGUGCAGGAGAGGAAGGUAGAAUUCCCGGUGUAGCGGUGAAAUGCGUAGAGAUCGGGAGGAAUACCAGUGGCGAAGGCGGCCUUCUGGACUGACACUGACGCUGAGGUGCGAAAGCGUGGGUAGCAAACAGGAUUAGAUACCCCUGUCGUC